CGAACGAACUCUGGUAUUGAUUGGUGCUUGCAUCAUGAUUUACAUUUGAGUGAGUGGCGAACUGGUGAGUAACACGUGGGAAACCUGCCCAGAAGCGGGGGAUAACACCUGGAAACAGAUGCUAAUACCGCAUAACAACUUGGACCGCAUGGUCCGAGUUUGAAAGAUGGCUUCGGCUAUCACUUUUGGAUGGUCCCGCGGCGUAUUAGCUAGAUGGUGGGGUAACGGCUCACCAUGGCAAUGAUACGUAGCCGACCUGAGAGGGUAAUCGGCCACAUUGGGACUGAGACACGGCCCAAACUCCUACGGGAGGCAGCAGUAGGGAAUCUUCCACAAUGGACGAAAGUCUGAUGGAGCAACGCCGCGUGAGUGAAGAAGGGUUUCGGCUCGUAAAACUCUGUUGUUAAAGAAGAACAUAUCUGAGAGUAACUGUUCAGGUAUUGACGGUAUUUAACCAGAAAGCCACGGCUAACUACGUGCCAGCAGCCGCGGUAAUACGUAGGUGGCAAGCGUUGUCCGGAUUUAUUGGGCGUAAAGCGAGCGCAGGCGGUUUUUUAAGUCUGAUGUGAAAGCCUUCGGCUCAACCGAAGAAGUGCAUCGGAAACUGGGAAACUUGAGUGCAGAAGAGGACAGUGGAACUCCAUGUGUAGCGGUGAAAUGCGUAGAUAUAUGGAAGAACACCAGUGGCGAAGGCGGCUGUCUGGUCUGUAACUGACGCUGAGGCUCGAAAGUAUGGGUAGCAAACAGGAUUAGAUACCCUGGUAGUCCAUACCGUAAACGAUGAAUGCUAAGUGU
rnacentral:rRNA from 2 species